rnacentral:rRNA from 1 species
AGUCUGCAACCCGACUACAUGAAGCUGGAAUCGCUAGUAAUCGCGGAUCAGAAUGCCGCGGUGAAUACGUUCCCGGGUCUUGUACACACCGCCCGUCACACCAUGGGAGUCGGAAAUGCCCGAAGUCUGUGACCCAACCUACGGGAGGGAGCAGCCGAAGGCAGGUCGGAUGACUGGGGUGAAGUCGUAACAAGGUAGC